rnacentral:sRNA from 1 species
AAGGCAUUGACUAAACGACUAAACGAGA